rnacentral:misc_RNA from 1 species
GAUGAAGAACGUAGCGAAAUGCGAUAAGUAAUGUGAAUUGCAGAAUUCAGUGAAUCAUCGAAUCUUUGAACGCACAUUGCGCCCGCCAGUAUUCUGGCGGGCAUGCCUGUUCGAGCGUCAUUACAACCCUCAGGCCCCCGGGCCUGGCGUUGGGGAUCGGCGGAGCCCCCCGUGGGCACACGCCGUCCCCCAAAUACAGUGGCGGUCCCGCCGCAGCUUCCAUCGCGUAGUAGCUAACACCUCGCGACUGGAGAGCGGCGCGGCCACGCCGUAAAACACCCAACUCUUCUGAAGUUGACCUCGAGUCAGGUAGGAAUACCCGCUGAACUUAAGCAUAUCAAUAAGCGGAGGA